rnacentral:rRNA from 1 species
UGAGGAAUUUUUCGCAAUGGGCGCAAGCCUGACGAAGCAAUGCCGCGUGAAGGAUGAAGGCCUGCGGGUUGUAAACUUCUUUUAUUAGAGAAGAUAAUGACGGUAUCUAAUGAAUAAGCAUCGACUAACUAUGUGCCAGCAGUCGCGGUAAUACAUAGGAUGCAAGCGUUAUCCGGAAUAAUUGGGCGUAAAGCGUCUGUAGGUUGUUUAAAAAGUCAACUGUUAAAAAUCAAGGCUUAACCUUGGGCAGGCAGUUGAAACUUUUAAGCUAGAGUAUGGCAGAGGUAGAGGGAAUUACUGGUGUAACGGUGAAAUGUGCAGAUAUCAGUAAGAACACCGACGGCGAAAGCACUCUACUGGACCAAAACUGACACUCAGAGACGAAAGCUAGGGGAGCAAAUAGAAUUAGAUACCCCCGUAGUCC